rnacentral:rRNA from 1 species
AGAGUUGUAUCCUGGCUCAGGACGAACGCUGGCGGCGUGCCUAACACAUGCAAGUCGAGCGGGGUCCAUCCAGUGGCAACACUGGUGAAGACCUAGCGGCGAACGGGUGAGUAACACGUGAGAAACCUGCCCUGAAGUCUGGGAUAACCCGAGGAAACUCGAGCUAAUACCGGAUGCCCCCACUGAGUCGCAUGGCUUGGUGAGGAAAGAUUUAUCGCUUCAGGAGGGUCUCGCGGCCUAUCAGCUAGUUGGCGGGGUAACGGCCCACCAAGGCAUCGACGGGUAGCUGGUCUGAGAGGACGAUCAGCCACACUGGGACUGAGACACGGCCCAGACUCCUACGGGAGGCAGCAGUGGGGAAUAUUGCGCAAUGGGCGAAAGCCUGACGCAGCAACGCCGCGUGCGGGAUGAAGGCCUUCGGGUUGUAAACCGCUUUCAGUGGGGACGAAAACAGACGGUACCCACAGAAGAAGCCCCGGCCAACUACGUGCCAGCAGCCGCGGUAACACGUAGGGGGCGAGCGUUGUCCGGAUUUAUUGGGCGUAAAGAG